CAGCAGCCGCGGGAAUACGUAGGUCCCGAGCGUUGUCCGGAUUUAUUGGGCGUAAAGCGAGCGCAGGCGGUUAGAUAAGUCUGAAGUUAAAGGCUGUGGCUUAACCAUAGUACGCUUUGGAAACUGUUUAACUUGAGUGCAAGAGGGGAGAGUGGAAUUCCAUGUGUAGCGGUGAAAUGCGUAGAUAUAUGGAGGAACACCGGUGGCGAAAGCGGCUCUCUGGCUUGUAACUGACGCUGAGGCUCGAAAGCGUGGGGAGCGAACAGGAUUAGAUACCCCCGUAGUCCCUGUCUCUUAUACA
rnacentral:rRNA from 1 species